rnacentral:tRNA from 2 species
GCCGAAGUAGCUCAGUGGCAGAGCAACGCUUUCGUAAAGCGUGGGUCGGGGGUUCGAUUCCCCCUUUCGGCU